CAAUAGCGUAUAUUAAAGUUGUUGCGGUAAAAAAGCUCGUAGUUGGAUUUCUGUUGAGAGCGACCGGUCCAUACCAUGUAUGCGUAUCUGGCUUGCUCUCGGCAUCCUCUCGAUAGACGUUACUGCGCUUGAUUGCGUGGUGCGGAUCUCGGGACUUUUACUUUGAGGAAAUUAGAGUGUUCACGGCAGGCUUUCGCCAGAAUACAUUAGCAUGGAAUAAUACUAUAGGAUCUUGGUUCUAUUUUGUUGGUUUCUAGAAUUGAGAUAAUGAUUAAUAGGGACAAUUGGGGGCAUUCGUAUCAACACGUCAGAGGUGGAAUUCUUGGAUUGUGUUGCGACGAACUACUGCGAAAGCAUUCGCCAAGGAUGUUUUCAUUGA
rnacentral:rRNA from 1 species